GACACUAUAGCCAAGUGGUUAAGGCGACAGAUUAGAAUAUUUGGCUCAUGUCCAGAUGCGAUAAUCUGUUUCUCUCUGAGAGCGUAGGUUCGAACCCUACUGGUGUCG